rnacentral:lncRNA from 1 species
GUGCCUCUUGUGACUGAGGGACCCAGGCACUAUAACAAUGAGAAAACCAGGACAUAUGUUAUUAAACUCCCAAAGUACAUCUUUUGAGCUGAAAGAAGAAUUUCCCAAUGAAUUAAAUAUGAGAACUCUUUUUAUUUCUCAUAAUGCCCUCUCAUGACGUCUUCUUGGAGACUUCAUGAAGACUUCAUGAAGAGAAGAGGUCUUCUCAUGAAGACCUCUCAAAAUAUGUAUUUCCUAGAACAGAGUUUAGGGUCAUGGUGACCAACAUAUAUUUUCAUAAUAACUUUGGAUGAUAGGAAUAACAAUGUUAAAAACCUUGUAAGGCAUCCACAAAGAAAUAAAGAACUAACUACAAUGGAGCAAAUAAUCAGGAUGACCUAGGCUUAUCCUUUACAACAUCAGGUGCCAAAAGGAACUGGGAACGAUGCCAGAUUUUUGAGAGGAAAAUGUGGUAAUCCAACAAUUCAGUCUUACGCCGAAUUAUAUUUUAUGUGUUAGAGCAUCUGACAACUACUCUCAGAAUAGGAAAAAGUUUAUGUACUACUUAAAAAAAUUCUUGAAGACAUACUCCAAAAGAUCAAGAAAUGAAAAAUUAGAAUUAAAAAUCCCAAAGUCAGAGUAAUGCUUCAACAAUAUUCUGUAAAACUCCAUUACUACAAAACACCCUUAUGCCAGACAUAUUACAACACACUUUACAAUACAUUAGUAAACUCACAAAUAAUUAGAGAGAGUCCUCAUAUACUAGGAAAGAAUGAAGAAUAAACUGAAAUCACAAAAGGGUGAACUUAAAUUCAAACACUACUAACUUUACGGCAAAACUGAUUCAAGGAACUAGAAAUCUAGAAUAAAAAAUAAUCUCAUACAAUUCAAUAACAAUAGCAACAGCAACAACAACAACAAAAAGCAACCCAAUUGAAAAACAGGAGUUCCUGUCGUGGCGCAGUGGUUAACGAAUCCGACUAGGAACCAUGAGGUUGCGGGUUCGGUCCAUGCCCUUGCUCAGUGGGUUAACGAUCCGGCGUUGCCCUACUGAAUUUAGAAUAAUCUACUAUUGAAGUUGUUAAAAAAAAAAAUCAUGGAGGAACACCUAACCAAACUCUCUCAACACACAAAAUACUCUAAAGUUAUGAAAGCUUGUCUAGUUAUUUACACUGAUGAUGGUAUGAAAGAAAAGUAUACCCAAUUAGAAGUGAAAGUACUUUUAUGUUAAUAAUUUUAGUAUAACAAAUAAGACAAAAUAAAAUAAAUAUUACACUCAACUCCAAAAGUUAAAUGUUUAAUAAGAUUUGUAAUUGAAAGAAUAAGAAUUGUGAAAGAACUUACAUAUUCUGUAUCAAUAACUCCAGAAUAUUUAGUCUUGUUGCUAACUUAACUGUAUGCACAAGAAAUCAUUUGCUCUUCAAACACUAUUUAAGAAAAUCAGUAAUUUUUAUUUUUGUCACAUUUUCCCAAGAUUUUCAAAGAAAUAUUCUGUUAGUAAGGGAUCAUUCUAAAUAUAUUGUUUGGAAAUGAACUUUCAUGUCCUUUGACGUAUAAGCCAAAAAAAAAAAAAAAGUUCCAGAAUAAAUGUCAUUAUAUGCCAAGAAUUCUAAAUCAUAUGUAUUCACAAUACUAUACAUAAACAUUACUGUUAUCCUUAAUUUUUUUCAGAGGGAAAUGAUACAUAAAGGAAUUGAAUAAAUUUUGCAAUCAUAUAGCUUGUAAGGGUGGAACUAGGCUAAAAACUCAGGUAGUUUAUCUCUAGAACACACACUCUAAAUCAUAAUAAAACACUGCUUUGCAGAAGUAUGAGUAAAAAUCAACUAGAAAUAAAGAGUUUUAGAAAACUUAAAUAUUGCAUGACCUAGAAGAAACUUUUAGUAUUUGAACUGAUAGAUUAUGAGAUCAAUUAACUUGUGGCUUUUGUAAUGCAGGAUGUUAGCUUCCACAGUGGUAAGUUAAUAUGAUAUCAAUAAAAUUUCCCACAUGUAAAAUUUACAUUUCUAAACUUUAAGUGACUUUAAAAAUAACAGAAAUCAACCACAGGAAAAGAAGUGAAAAAAAACCUACUACAUGGAGACUAAACAACAUGCUACUAAAAAACUAGUGGGUCAAUGAGGAAAUCAAGAAGGAAAUUAAAAAAUACUUCGAGACAAAUGAUAAUGAAGACACAACCACUCAAAAUCAAUGAGAUGCUGCAAAAGCAGUGCUCAGAAGGAAGUUCAUAGCAAUACAGGCCUUCCUCAAAAAAGAAGAAAAAUCUCAAAUUGACAACUUAACCCAUCACCUAAAUGAAUUAGAAAAAGAACAAGCAAAACCUAAAGUCAACAGAAGGAAGGAAAUCGUAAAGAUCAAAGAGGAAAUCAAUAAAAUAUAGAUUCAAAAAACAACAGACAUUGCCAAAUUCAUUGAUGAGCUCUAACAGUUUUCUGGUAGAGUCUUUAGGAUUCUCUAGGUAUAGUAUCAUGUCACCUGCAAAUAGCAAUAGUAUUACUUCUUCCCUUCCAAUUUGAAAACCUUCUAUCUCUUUUACAUCUUUGACUGCUGUAGCUAGGAAUUCCAAAAUUAUGUUGAAUAGUAGUGAGAGAGGACAUCCUUAUCUUGUUCCUGAUCUCAGCGGGAAUUCUUUCAGCUUUUCACCAUUGAGAAUGAUGUUAGCUGCGGGUUUGUCAUAUAUGGCCUUUAUGAUAUUGAGGUAGGUUCCCUCUAUGCCCACUUUCUGAAGGGUUUUUUAUCAGAAAUGGGUAUUGGAUUUUGUCAAAGGCUUUUUCUGCAUCUAUUGAGAGGAUCAUAUGGUUUUUAUUCUUCAGUUUGUUAAUGUUGUGUAUCACACUGAUGGAUUUGCAGAUACUGAAGAAGCCUUGCAUCCCUGGGAUAAAUCCCACUCAAUCAUGACGUACAAUACUUUUAAAGUAUUGUUGGAUGAGGUUUUGCUAGUAUUUUGUUGAGGAUUUUUGCAUCUAUGUUCAUCACUGAAAUAUGCCUGUAGUUUUCUUUUUUUGUGGUAUCUUUGUCUAGUUUUGGUAUCAGGGUGAUGGUGGCCUCAUAGAAUGAGUUUGGGAGUAUUUCUUCCUCUGCAAUUUUUUGAAAUAGUUUCAGAAGGAUAGGUAUUAGCUCUUCUCCAAAUUUUUGAUAGAAUUCACCUGUGAAGCCAUCUGGUCCUGGACUUUUGUUUGUUGGAAGUUUUUAAAUCACAGUUUCAAUUUCAGUUCUUAUGAUUGGUCCAUUCAUUUUUUCUAUUUCAUCUUGGUUUAGUCUUGGAAGAUUGUACCUUUCUAAGAAUUUGUCCAUUUCUUCUAGGUUUUCCAUUUUAUUGGCAUAUAACUGCUACAGUAGUCUCUUAUGAACCUUGGUAUUUCUGUGGUGUCUGUUGUUACUUCUCCUUUUUCAUUUCUAAUUUUAUUGAUUUGAGUCCUCUCUCUUUAUUUCUUGAUAAGUCUGGCUAAGGGUUUAUCAAUUUUGUUGAUCUUUUCAAAGAACCAGCUUUUCAUUUAAUUGAUCUUUUCUAUGGUUUUCUUCCUUUCUAUUUUAUUGAUUUCUUCUCUGGUCUUUAUGAUAUCUUUCCCUCUACUAACUUUAGGUUUUGUCUGUUCUUCUCUCUUGAGCUGCUUUAGAUGUUAAGUUAGCUCGUUUAUUUGAGCUUUUUCUUGUUUCCUGAGGUGGGCUUGUAUUGCUAUAAACUUUCCUCUUAAAUCGGCUUUUGUUACAUCCCAUAGGUUUUGGAGUGUUGUAUCUUUGUUGUCAUUUG